rnacentral:rRNA from 1 species
AUUGAACGCUGGCGGCAUGCUUUACACAUGCAAGUCGAACGGUAACGCGGGGCAACCUGGCGACGAGUGGCGAACGGGUGAGUAAUGCAUCGGAACGUGCCCGGUAGUGGGGGAUAACUGCUCGAAAGAGCAGCUAAUACCGCAUACGACCUGAGGGUGAAAGGGGGGGAUCGCAAGACCUCUCGCUAUUGGAGCGGCCGAUGUCGGAUUAGCUAGUUGGUGGGGUAAGGGCCCACCAAGGCGACGAUCCGUAGCUGGUCUGAGAGGACGACCAACCACACUGGGACUGAGACACGGGCCAGACUCCUACGGGAGGCAGCAGUGGGGAAUUUUGGACAAUGGACGCAAGUCUGAUCCAGCCAUGCCGCGUGCGGGAAGAAGGCCUUCGGGUUGUAAACCGCUUUUGUCAGAGAAGAAAUCUUCUGGGUUAAUACCUCGGGAGGAUGACGGUAUCUGAAGAAUAAGCACCGGCUAACUACGUGCCAGCCGCCGCCGUAA